rnacentral:rRNA from 1 species
UACGUAGGGUGCAAGCGUUAAUCGGAAUUACUGGGCGUAAAGCGUGCGCAGGCGGUGAUGUAAGACAGUUGUGAAAUCCCCGGGCUCAACCUGGGAACUGCAUCUGUGACUGCAUCGCUGGAGUGCGGCAGGGGGGGAUGGAAUUCCGCGUGUAGCAGUGAAAUGCGUAGAUAUGCGGAGGAACACCGAUGGCGAAGGCAAUCCCCUGGGCCUGCACUGACGCUCAUGCACGAAAGCGUGGGGAGCAAACAGG